rnacentral:rRNA from 1 species
UACGAAGGGGGCUAGCGUUGCUCGGAAUCACUGGGCGUAAAGCGCACGUAGGCGGAUUGCUAAGUCAGGGGUGAAAUCCUGGAGCUCAACUCCAGAACUGCCUUUGAUACUGGUGAUCCUGAGUCCGGGAGAGGUGAGUGGAACUGCGAGUGUAGAGGUGAAAUUCGUAGAUAUUCGCAAGAACACCAGUGGCGAAGGCGGCUCACUGGCCCGGUACUGACGCUGAGGUGCGAAAGCGUGGGGAGCAAACAGG